CCUCUACAUUUACACAUGUAUUGCCUUCUUUUUUAAAAGAUUUAUUCUUUUAUUUAUUCCUCUAUAUUGGCACAUUUAUUUCCGUAUUUUUAACAGAUACAUUUUUUAAUUUUUUCUUUUAUUUAUUCCUCUUUAUAUUUACAUAUUUAUUUCCUUAUUUUUUUUUACAGAUUUAUUCAUUUAUUUUUAUUUAUUUAGCCCCCUUUAUAUUUACACAUUUAUUUCCUUAUUUUUAACAGAUUGAUUUUUAAAAAUUUAUUCUUUUAUAUAUUCCUCUUUAUAUUUACACAUUUAUUUCCUUAUUUUUUCCAUACCACAUUAGCUGUUGUGUUCAUGAAAAAUGAUACUUUUUCUUGUCAGUUGAGCAUCUGUUGCAGUCAGAUCUCUUUUGUGCCGGUACAGUUUCUAAACUGGGGAGAAGACGGGACUCUGCAGGUUUUCUUGCCACUUUUAUGUUGAAUUUGAUAACAGGAACUGAGAUUUUUCUCUGUUCUCUUUGCUUUAGGAGUUAAACAACAUAAAAUGCUGUAAUGAGCGAACCCUACAGCAAAUCUGAUGUACUUUAGUUUCCAAAAUCUAAACAAAUAUGAGCUAAAAGUUGAGGUUUCAUUUGCAGCACACUGUGUCAUUUUAUACACUAUAUUGCCAAAAGUAUUGGCUCACCUGCCUUGACUGGCAUAUGAACCUAAGUGACAUCCCAUUCCUAAUCCAUAGGGUUCAAUAUGACGUUGGUCCACCCUUUGCAGCUAGAACAGCUUCAACUCUUCUGGGAAGGCUGUCCACAAGGUUUAGGAGUGUGUUUAUGGGAAUUUUUGACCAUUCUUCCAGAAGCACAUUUGUGAGGUCACACACUGAUGUUGGACCAGAAGGUCUGGCUCUCAGUCUCUGCUCUAUUCAUCCCAAAGGUGUUCUAUGGGGUUGAGGUCAGGACUCUGUGCAGGCCAGUCAAGUUCAUCCACACCAGACUCUGUCAUCCAUGUCUUUAUGGACCUUGCUUUGUGCACUGGUGCACAGUCAUGUUGGAAGAGGAAGGGACCAGCUCCAAACUGUUCCCACAAAGUUGGGAGCAUGGAAUUGUCCAAAAUGUCUUGGUAUGCUGAAGCAUUCAGAGUUCCUUUCACUGGAACUAAGGGUCCAAGCCCAGCUCCUGAAAAACAAGCCCACACCAUAAUCCCCCCUCCACCAAACUUUACACUUGGCACAAUGCAGUCCGACAAGUAUGGUUCUCCUGGCAACCACCAAACCCAGACUGGUCCAUCAGAUUGCCAGAUGGAGAAGCGUGAUUGGUCACUCCAGAGAAGGUGUCUCCACUGCUCUAGAGUCCAGUGGUGGCUGCUUUACACCACUGCAUCCCACGCUUUGCAUUGCACUUGGUGAUGUAUGGCUUGGAUGCAGCUGCUCAGCCAUGGAAACCCAUUCCAUGAAGCUCUGCUGAAGCACUGUUCUGGAGCUAAUCUGAAGGCCACAUGAAGUUUGAAGGUUUGUAGCGAUUGACUCUGCAGAAAGUUGGCGACCUCUUGGCACUAUGCUCCUCAGCAUCCACUGACCUCGCUCUGUCAGUUUACCACCUACCGCUUGGUGGCGGAGUUGCUGUCGUUCCUACACACUUCCACUUUCUUAUAAUACAGCUGACAGUUGACUGUGGAAUAUUUAGGAGCCAGGAAAUGUCACGACUGGAUUUGUUGCACAGGUGGCAUCCUAUCACAGUUCCACGCUGGAAUUCACUGAGCUCCUGAGAGUGAGCCAUUCUUUCACAAAUGUUUGUAAAAGCAGUCUGCAGCCUAGGUGCUGGAUUUUAUACACCUGUGGCCAUGGAAGGGAUUGGAACACCUGAUUCUGAUUAUUUGGAUGGGUGAGCGAAUGCUUUUGGCAAUAUAGUAUAUGUCUGGAGUUCUUCAGACCCUGCCUUAAAAUCAUCAGUUUUCUAAGGUUUCUACAGCAUUAAAGUCAUUCAUUGAUAGCUGUUGUUACAUCUAAUAAUAGAUCUUGAAGUAAUGGGGUCCGUUUCACGAAGCAGGUUCAACAAACUCUGAGUUUAACCCUGAACUCUGAGUUGAUCUACUCUGAGAUAGAAAACUGAGUUUCCGGUUCCAGAACGGCUGAUCUGAGUUGGCUUAAUCAACUCGGAGUAGUUUCACCCGGAGUUAAGCGCGUGCACCACAACUCUGAAAAGCCAGUAUCAAUGGAGCGCCGAUUCGACGAGUCACCAUGGCAACAGGGAAGCGGAGGACUACACUGCUUGAAUUGGAAAUCUUAAUGCGCUUAUAUAGCGAGUCUGAACACGUUUUUAGAAAGAAGUGCAACACCUGCAGCUGCAAAACAGAGGGAGACGGCGUGGGAGAACAUUGCUGCCUGGGUCAAUGCGUAAGUUUAAAUCACAAUAAUAUUACAGGAAAACUGUUUGAAUAGUAGCCUAUUAAGUUAUUUCAUUUAGGUGCAAUCCUGCAGGGGAGAAGCACAUGUGGCAGCAGCUGAAGAUGAAAUAUAAAAACAUUUUUAAAACAGAUUCUGAUGGUACUAUCUGCCUGGUGGAGCCCCUUCACACCACAACAGACCUUGUAACUGAUGAAGAGGAUGAAACUGUGUCUGCUGCCUUUACAGAGGGGGAUCCAGAAAGGCAUACAGAGAGCAUGGCUGGACAGCAGCAGGAUGCUUCCUCAACUUCCACUGCACAGACUGACACAGUGAGAUGGAUGUUCAGUAAACACCAGAGGUUCAGUCCAUGGAAUUCAUGUGCAACUGUAUAAUUUAAUGUCCUUUAUGUAUUCCCAGUUACCAGUAAAACAAAUAUACAAAAUCCACUUGCUGAGAUAAACACAAAAAACAGAUAAAGAAAUGCAGUACUUGGACCACCAGAUUAAGAAGGCAGAUCUGGAAAUUGAUCUGGAGCACAAGUUAGAGGUGGAUGCAGGUCACAGGUGAAUUAUGUUAACUACUGGAACAUGAACUAAACUAGCUCUUUUAUUUGUAGGAAAUAAAGAAGACCAAAUGAAAUGUGUGUCAUGUGUUUAUUUGACUGCUGUGGUGGUGAUGAUGG